AAGAAGUUUUUCUCACAAGUGUCGCUCUCAAUGCAGCAGGAGUGAAGAAGCCAAGAACUCAGUAAACCCUGAGCUUGUUUUGUUAGUUAAAGUAAGUUAGUUUUCAUAAGGAUGAAAAAGUGCCUCCAGAGACAACACAUUGCUGAGAAGAAUUAGACAACCAAAGUAUUUCUGAACACAGAUAUAUCUGGAGUUCCAUUAAUUUUCUUAAGAAGAUAAAGACCACAUGAGAAGUCACCAGGAAGGAAUUUUUUAAGGGCAUCUAUGUGCACAAAAUAAAAUGGUAAAUACUUAUGAAAGAGCUACAUCUAA